rnacentral:rRNA from 1 species
UACAGAGGGUGCGAGCGUUGUUCGGAAUUAUUGGGCGUAAAGCGCUUGUAGGCGGCACGUCAAGUCGCGUGUGAAAUCCCCAGGCUUAACCUGGGAAGUGCGCGCGAAACUGACGAGCUUGAGUGCCGGAGAGGGUCGCGGAAUUCCCGGUGUAGAGGUGAAAUUCGUAGAUAUCGGGAGGAACACCAGUGGCGAAGGCGGCUACCUGGCCUAAUACUGACACUGAGGCACGAAAGCGUGGGGAGCAAACAGG